rnacentral:rRNA from 1 species
CCUACGGGGCGCUGCAGUGAGGAAUAUUGGUCAAUGGACGAGAGUCUGAACCAGCCAAGUAGCGUGAAGGAUGACUGCCCUAUGGGUUGUAAACUUCUUUUAUAUGGGAAUAAAACGUUCCACGUGUGGGAUUUUGUAUGUACCAUAUGAAUAAGGAUCGGCUAACUCCGUGCCAGCAGCCGCGGUAAUACGGAGGAUCCGAGCGUUAUCCGGAUUUAUUGGGUUUAAAGGGAGCGUAGGUGGAUUGUUAAGUCAGUUGUGAAAGUUUGCGGCUCAACCGUAAAAUUGCAGUUGAAACUGGCAGUCUUGAGUACAGUAGAGGUGGGCGGAAUUCGUGGUGUAGCGGUGAAAUUCUUAGAUAUCACGAAGAACUCCGAUUGCGAAGGCAGUUCACUGGACUGCAACUGACACUGAGGCUCGAAAGUGUGGGUAUCAAACAGGAUUAGAUACCCGUGUAGUC